AGGAGACAUGUAGAGGUGACAGCUGCUCUGCACUGUUGGAUGGCUGCUGUGGUGUGUAGUAGCCUGGUGUUGUAAACAUCCCCGACUGGAAGCUGUACCAGCUCUAGCUUUCAGUCAGAUGUUUGCUGCACCUGGCUAUUCCUGGGCAACGUCAGAAGGAAAACCUGUCAGGAAUACCUGUGUGCACAUACAUAUAUAUCCAACACUGUUUCUAUGGACACAGUUGAAUUGCCUUCACAUGAAUCAUGAUUCUGUGCAUUAACCGGAUUGUUAUUAAUAGUGUAGGUGUGAUUUGUUGAAACCUGGAGAUACAAAGCUGCUGUCUGUGUGUCACUCAGAACAGUUCACUGCACUAUGAGAUGAGCUUCGCUGAGACAUAACGGGAAGUGGUGGUUCAUUUCUUGUACAGUUAUCUGUAAACUUGCUUUAUGAAUUGUCUGUCUUAGCUUCUGUUAAAUUUCCUCUUAGGACAAAUUGUUAGGAAUGCUGUCAGACACUUAAGCAGGCAUUUUACCUGAGAUGCCUUAGGUUUUGUUGUUAGGGUUUUUCCUGGAAUUCCACAUUCUGAGUCUCCUUAUGACUGGGUGAGUCUCAUUGUUUGUGAGCUGGAUGUAACCCAAGGCCAAAAUGAAGGUUAAAACCUGACAGCACAGUAUGUAUUUUUGCACUGACAGUACAUAGAGUAAACUGUUUUGCCAUAUGGUCAUCUUGGCCUGUGCUGCCCCCAUCCAUGUCACUGUGAAGGUUUACUUGUCAGAUAAAUAACAGCUUUUGAAAGCACUUCUCCAGAACUAACUCUUCAAUGAUUCCAAACCAGCCUAAAGUAAUAAUGUCAAGGAUACAGAUACUUAGAAAAGUGAAAGAUUUUCUCUUUGAUUUAUCAGAAUUAGAAUUCUUUGGAGUUCUUAGCCCUGGGAAAGCAGUCAUAAGCAGCACAGGC